GGAGAAGUUAAAUGAAUUGCCCAGUGUCACUCAAGUCCUAUAAUGAAGUCUAAAUUCAAAGUCAAGUUUUGUGAUUCUAAGGCAGAUGUAUGUACUCUCCUAAGUGUGGAGAAGAGAAAUGUAGACCAAAAGAAAAUAUGUCGUCAUAAUCAUUUUAUAUAAUAUAAGCAAUGAGGUACUGAAGGAAUAUCAUUGGAUUAGAAGGGAUGAUACAGAAGAUACAAAUUGCUGAGGAAGAUCAAAUGAAGAUGUGUAGAGGCCAGAUAUAAGACAUUUGAAGGCAAGAACCAUAAUGUCCAUUUUAAAUUAUGUUUUACCUACUGAAAAGGUAUUCCCUAUAUAAACAGGGAUGAGGGAA